GGAAAAGAGAGAAGAGAGAGAGAGGAGGAGGAGGAAGAAGGAAAAGAGAGAAGAGAGAGAGAGGAGGAGGAGGAAGAAAAAGAGAGAAGAAAAAGAGAGAGAGAGAAGGAAGCAGAGGAGGAGGAAGAAGAGAGAGAAGAAGAGGAGGAGGAAGGAGAGGAGGAGGAAGAAGAGAGAGAAGAAGAGGAGGAGGAAGGAGAGGAGGAGGAAGAAGAGAGAGAAGAAGAGGAGGAGGAAGGAGAGGAGGAGGAAGAAGAGAGAGAAGAAGAGGAGGAGGAAGGAGAGGAGGAGGAAGAAGAGAGAGAAGAAGAGGAGGAGGAAGGAGAGGAGGAGGAAGAAGAGAGAGAAGAAGAGGAGGAGGAAGGAGAGGAGGAGGAAGAAGAGAGAGAAGAAGAGGAGGAGGAAGGAGAGGAGGAGGAAGAAGAGAGAGAAGAAGAGGAGGAGGAAGGAGAGGAGGAGGAAGAAGAGAGAGAAGAAGAGGAGGAGGAAGGAGAGGAGGAGGAAGAAGAGAGAGAAGAAGAGGAGGAGGAAGGAGAGGAGGAGGAAGAAGAGAGAGAAGAAGAGGAGGAGGAAGGAGAGGAGGAGGAAGAAGAGAGAGAAGAAGAGGAGGAGGAAGGAGAGGAGGAGGAAGAAGAGAGAGAGGAAGAAAAAGAGGAGGAGGAAAAAAAAGAGAAGAAAGAGAGGGGAGGAAGGAGGAGGAGGAGGAAGAAAAAGAGAGAAGAAAAAGAGAGAGAGAGAAGGAAGCAGAGGAGGAGGAAGAAGAGAGAGAGGAAGAAAAAGAGGAGGAGGAAAAAAAAGAGAAGAAAGAGAGAGGAGGAAGGAGGAGGAGGAGGAAGAAGAGAGAGAAGAAGAGGAGGAGGAAGAAAAGGAGGAGGAAGAAAAAGAAAGAGAGAAAGAGAAGGAAGGAGAGGAGAGAGGAGGAGGAAGAAAAAGAGAGAAGAAAAAGAGAGAGAGAGAAGGAAGCAGAGGAGGAGGAAGAAGAGAGAGAGGAAGAAAAAGAGGAGGAGGAAAAAAAAGAGAAGAAAGAGAGAGGAGGAAGGAGGAGGAGGAGGAAGAAGAGAGAGAAGAAGAGGAGGAGGAAGAAAAGGAGGAGGAAGAAAAAGAAAGAGAGAGAGAGAAGGAAGGAGAGGAGAGAGGAGGAGGAAGAAAAAGAGAGAAGAGGAGAGAGGAGGAAGGAGAGAAGAGGAGAGAGGAGGAAGGAGAGAAGAGGAGAGAGGAGGAAGGAGAGAAGAGGAGAGAGGAGGAAGGAGAGAAGAGGAGAGAGGAGGAAGGAGAGAAGAGGAGAGAGGAGGAAGGAGAGAAGAGGAGAGAGGAGGAAGGAGAGAAGAGGAGAGAGGAGGAAGGAGAGAAGAGGAGAGAGGAGGAAGGAGAGAAGAGGAGAGAGGAGGAAGGAGAGAAGAGGAGAGAGGAGGAAGGAGAGAAGAGGAGAGAGGAGGAAGGAGAGAAGAGGAGAGAGGAGGAAGGAGAGAAGAGGAGAGAGGAGGAAGGAGAGAAGAGGAGAGAGGAGGAAGGAGAGAAGAGGAGAGAGGAGGAAGGAGAGAAGAGGAGAGAGGAGGAAGGAGAGAAGAGGAGAGAGGAGGAAGGAGAGAAGAGAGAGAGGCGGAGGAGGAUGAAGAAGACGAUAGAGGGAGGGAUGAAGAAGAUGACAGAGGGAGGAUGAGGAAGAUGACAAGCAGGGGCUCUUCAGCCACCUUCCCGUGCAUUUUGGCAGUGACCCCCAGGCGAGGACAGUGUGAAGCAGGGGCAGCCCCCGCCCGCAGCCAACUUACAGUGGAAAUAGCCAAAUGGAGCUAA
rnacentral:lncRNA from 1 species